rnacentral:rRNA from 1 species
GUAAGGUUUGCUGGAGGUAUCAGAAGUGCGAAUGCUGACAUGAGUAACGACAAAGGGGGUGAAAAACCUCCUCGCCGGAAGACCAAGGGUUCCUGUCCAACGUUAAUCGGGGCAGGGUGAGUCGACCCCUAAGGUGAGGCCGAAAGGCGUAAUCGAUGGGAAACGGGUUAAUAUUCCCGUACUUCUGACUAUUGCGAUGGGGGGACGGAGAAGGCUAGGUGGGCCAGGCGACGGUUGUCCUGGUUCAAGUGCGUAGGCUUGAGAGUUAGGUAAAUCCGGCUCUCUCUAAGGCUGAGACACGACGUCGAGCUACUACGGUAGUGAAGUCAUUGAUGCCAUGCUUCCAGGAAAAGCCUCUAAGCUUCAGAUAGUCAGGAAUCGUACCCCAAACCGACACAGGUGGUCGGGUAGAGAAUACCAAGGCGCUUGAGAGAACUCGGGUGAAGGAACUAGGCAAAAUGGUACCGUAACUUCGGGAGAAGGUACGCUCUUGAUGGUGAAGUCCCUCGCGGAUGGAGCUGACGAGAGUCGCAGAUACCAGGUGGCUGCAACUGUUUAUUAAAAACACAGCACUGUGCAAAAUCGCAAGAUGACGUAUACGGUGUGACGCCUGCCCGGUGCCGGAAGGUUAAUUGAUGGGGUUAGCGCAAGCGAAGCUCUUGAUCGAAGCCCCGGUAAACGGCGGCCGUAACUAUAACGGUCCUAAGGUAGCGAAAUUCCUUGUCGGGUAAGUUCCGACCUGCACGAAUGGCGUAAUGAUGGCCACGCUGUCUCCACCCGAGACUCAGUGAAAUUGAAAUCGCUGUGAAGAUGCAGUGUACCCGCGGCUAGACGGAAAGACCCCGUGAACCUUUACUACAGCUUGGCACUGAACAUUGAACCUACAUGUGUAGGAUAGGUGGGAGGCUAUGAAGACGUGACGCCAGUUGCGUUGGAGCCGUCCUUGAAAUACCACCCUUGUAUGUUUGAUGUUCUAACUUAGACCCAUUAUCUGGGUUGAGGACAGUGCCUGGUGGGUAGUUUGACUGGGGCGGUCUCCUCCCAAAGAGUAACGGAGGAGCACGAAGGUGGGCUAAUCACGGUUGGACAUCGUGAGGUUAGUGCAAUGGCAUAAGCCCGCUUAACUGCGAGAAUGACGGUUCGAGCAGGUGCGAAAGCAGGUCAUAGUGAUCCGGUGGUUCUGUAUGGAAGGGCCAUCGCUCAACGGAUAAAAGGUACUCCGGGGAUAACAGGCUGAUACCGCCCAAGAGUUCAUAUCGACGGCGGUGUUUGGCACCUCGAUGUCGGCUCAUCACAUCCUGGGGCUGAAGUCGGUCCCAAGGGUAUGGCUGUUCGCCAUUUAAAGUGGUACGCGAGCUGGGUUUAGAACGUCGUGAGACAGUUCGGUCCCUAUCUGCCGUGGGCGUUGGAAGAUUGAAGGGGGCUGCUCCUAGUACGAGAGGACCGGAGUGGACGAACCUCUGGUGUUCGGGUUGUGUCGCCAGACGCAUUGCCCGGUAGCUAAGUUCGGAAUUGAUAAGCGCUGAAAGCAUCUAAGCGCGAAGCGAGCCCUGAGAUGAGUCUUCCCUGACAGUUUAACUGUCCUAAAGGGUUGUUCGAGACUAGAACGUUGAUAGGCAGGGUGUGUAAGCGUUGUGAGGCGUUGAGCUAACCUGUACUAAUUGCCCGUGAGGCUUAACCAU